rnacentral:tRNA from 1 species
GGGUAGGUAGCGAAGUGGUUAAACGCAUCAGACUGUAAAUCUGACGGCUCAUGCCUUCGGAGGUUCGAAUCCUUCCCUACCCACAA